CAAAGAGCCGUCAUGCUUGCACUAGCCAGAUUGUGUUUGGGGCACUGUGUUUCCACACCUGAGAGCAACAUCUUCAGUGGGACACUGUCCAAGAAAAUUUCAUCCUCAGAGUGUCCUGGAGGAAGAGCAUUCAGGAACCACUUUCUGUUUAUUAAAUCCUUCAUUCCUGCCCCAUGACUGAGAAAUGAGGACUGUAUUGUUUGGAUUUGAGAAGACUUAGCAGGGACUUGAGACCUCUCCACAAACAUGUUAAGAAACUUAAGCGAAAGAGAGUGUGUUUAUUCAGUUUUGCUCUAGAGAUCGAGAACUAGGAAGGCUCCUGGGUGUUCCGAAGAGGCAGCAGUUAGACUUCACAGAAAGAAGCCCUUGCUUCCUAACAAUUGCAGCAAAAAUUGAGAGUGAGCUCCUGUCAUUUGCAGCGUUCCAGAAUGGAUCUGAAAACUCCUCACCAGAGCCAAAUUCAAGAGGGAUAAAUGCUCAAUUUAAAUGUUCGUGUGUCAAGAUGGAAGCCCCAUAAAGGGGUCUGGUCCUGUCACCCAGACUGGAGAGCAGCGGCAGAAUCUCAGCUCAUUGCAACCUCGGCCUCCCAGGCUCAAGUGAUCCUCCCACCUCAGCCUCCUGAGUACCUGGGACUAAAGAUGCAUACCACCAUGCCUGGCUAAUUUUUUGAAAUUUUUUUGUAGAGAUGGGUUUUUGCCAUGUUGCCCAGGCUGGUAUCAAACUCUUGAGCUCAAGCCAUCUGCCUGCCUCGAACUCCCAAGGUGCUGGGAUUCCAGGUGUCAGCCACUGCGCCUGGCCUAGAUUAUUAAUUAAAGGCUAGAAAGAGUAAAUAUCUAGCAUGUUUUAAAAACAUAACCUACAAAUAUAACUAUGCUACUGGAAGUAUGCAUAAUUUAACUACCCCUUCCCUUUUUGCUGAUUUGUUAGUCAUAAAUCUACAAAAGGCAUCUUUUAUUUUAUUUUUUUUAGAGACAGGGUUUGGCUCUGUCACCCAGGCAGGAAUGCAAUGGUGUGAUCAUAGCCCACUGUAACCUCAAACUUCCUGGGCUUAAGGGUUCCUCCUGCCUCAGUCUCCCAAGGAGCUAGGACUACAGGUACACGUCACCAUGCCUGGCUAAAUUUUUUUAAAUUUUUUUGUAAAGAAGAGGUCUUUCUAUGUUGCCCAGGCUGGUCUCAAACUCCUGGACUCAAAUAAUCCUCCUGCUUUGGUGCCCCAAAGCGCUGGGAUUUCAGGUGUGAGCCACCGUGCCUGGCCCAAAAGAGAUCUUUUUCAGGCACAGAUCACACCAGCUUUAAUUACUCGUGGAAAAAUCUACUUUGAUCUGAAAACUAUGCAUAUAACAUUAUUCAACAUAUUGUACUAUUUUAACCUUUAGAAGAAAUUAAACAUUAUACAAAUAUAAAAUUCUAUAAUGGUAUUGGAUAAAACAUCUAAAGCACAGAAGACUUUCAAAUAUAUCCUCCAUUUUAUAAAAGGCAAAAAAUUAGAUGAUAGAGGGAAAUUGAUUUGCAGAAACACACACAACCAACAAGCAUUAUAGCAGGCAAUAGCUUCCAAGCAUUUCACUCACUUCUUAGCAUAGAACACUCUCUGUAGGGAAGAUUAGAAACUGAAGGACAAAAAUACACUCACUCCAUUCUCUCUGCCUUUUCUUCUAUCAUUCCUCUUCUCCAUUUGCCCACAUACUCUGACCUCAAAAUUAUAAUUUAUUUAAUAAUGCAAAAGGCAAGAUUUAUUACUGGUUCUUUCUCACCCAUGAAAAUUAACUAACUUCUUUUAAAUAAGGUACAAAAAGGAAAUAAUAAAAUGAAGGUAAUGUUGCUCAUCAAUAAGUAGAUAGUACUGACUUCUUCUGGAUAUAUCUAUCGAAUAAGAAUCUAAGUUCACUCUAUUGCCAAAAUAAUUUAAAUCCCAUGGUCGAAAAGGAACAUAAACUCUUCAUUGAUUUAUGGGCCUCAUAUCUUCUGGGAUGUGUCACCAAUUUAUGUGCUAUAUCCUGGGGUGUUAGCACCUGGGGUUGGAUAGAGGUGAAAGAUAAUGGCUUGUAAACAGGCAGCUCCCUGUUGACAACUCGCCUCAGGAAGCUCUUGCCAUUCGCCAUAUAUUUCAGAAAUUGUAUGCAGAAAGCUGUGCUUACAAAUGCGCUACAGGAAAGGUCAGCUCUGGAAAAUUUCAGACAUUUCUGAAACAUGCAUAUAGCAACCUGAUUAUACUACACUUAGUCAUGGUAUCUAGAUUUGAGAUAAAAAUAAAAUUACAGCAAGAAACGAUUUAAAAGUGUAAAAUUUUGCAUCAUAGGCAGCUAACGUACCAUUUUCAUUUAAAGAGUAAUCGAAGGGUCAAUAAUGAAUGGUGACAAUCUGAUAUUACGAUGUGAAGUGAUAGUGACAUCUGGCCACGUUAGUUAUUAGAAGAAACAAAGAAUUUUCAUAAUGUUUAUAUUUUGUAUUAAAUGGAAGUUGAUUCAGCCCUACCCUAACAUUUAGAUAUGAUGUCAUGGAUAUUCAUAAUUUGGUGCUGAACAUUCAUGGGUAAGCCUGCCAAGGCCACUGGAGACAUUUCCCAACAGUUCUGCUCUCAGGCUGGCACAGGGGACCAGCAGGUGCGCCAAUGCCCUGACUCCCUUAACCCUCUCUCACGACAGACUUCUCACUCUCAUGGCAGUGAAAUAGCAGGUAAUGAUCGACUUCACCUGAACCAGUGGUUUCAAAGUUUUUCAGGGCCAGAGAUCUCCUCGUUUAAAGAAAGUUCACAUAUCUAUAGAAAGAGAGGUUUCUGAUUUAUUUAAAAAAUAAAUAAAUCUCACAAGAAAGCUAAAACAUUGAAGGCUUGAGUUUUCCCUGGAGCUGCUUGCUAGAGCUCUGAGGAAAAAAUAUUCUUUACCUAGAAAGGACAUGAAACUUCAUGAACUCAAAUUUUAAAGCACAUGAUCCAUUAAGAAAAAGUUGACAAAUUGGGCUUCAUCAAAAUGUAUAACUUUUGCUCUUUAUACACUAUUAAGAAAGUGACAAAACAAGACACGAACCAGGAGAAAGUGUUUGUAAAUCAAAGAUCUGAUAAAGGAUAUGUACAGACUAUUUAAAAAAUUCCCACAACUCAAUAUAAGAAAACUCAAUAAAAUGUAAAAUAUAUUACUGGUUUGAAUAGGCUUUUCAUCGUAGAAGACAGAUGAAUGGCUAAUAAGCACUUGAAAAGAUGCUCAAAUCAUUAGUCAAUAGGGAAACAUAAAUUACAAUACCGUGAAAUAACACUAUACAUCCACUACAAUGGUUAUUGUCCAAAAGACUGACAACACAGGUGUUGGUGAGGAUGUGAAGAAACUGUAACCUCAAAUGUUGCUGGUGGGAAGAUAAAAUGGCACAGCCACUUUGGAAAACAGUUUGGCAGUUUCCUAUAAAGUUGAACACACACUUACCAUAUAACUUAGUAAUCUCACUCCUAAGUCUUUACCCAAGAGAAAUGAAAACACAUGUCCAUACAAAGCCUUGAAAGCAAAUUUCACGGCAGAAUUAUUUAUAAUAGCCCCAAACAGGAAAUAAUCCAAAUGUCCAUCAACUGGUGAAUGGAUAAACAAAAUGUGUUAUAUUCAUACUAUAAAAUGGGACAUUAUGCAGACAGGGAGUAAACAUUGCAAAGCGUCUGAAAAAGGACUUGUAUCUAGAAUACACAAAAAACUCUUCUAAGUCAGUAACCCAGUUGACAUCUCUCUUCCUCAACGUGACUUCUUUAAACACUCUGGCCCAUCACAAUUGCUUCAUUCCCCGAAUUUACUGUCAAUAACCUCCACUGGGUGUUUUUCUUGUAAAAUAUUUCAGAUGAGCUCCUGGUGGUGGUGAGGGAGUAUAACUGCAUCAGUGUGGAGCAGCAUAAUACAUCAGUGGGCUGGGAUGGGAUGUGACUUCCCAAAGCUGAGAUGGGCUCACUGAUGAGAGAUGUCUGCCACUGUCUUGGCCACUUGGCCCAAAACUCCAGAGCACCUCAAAGUGUAGACACCGACGAAGAUCCAAAAUUGCUUCCCAAGAUCCCAUAGCUGAAAAAGUUUCUGGGAAUGGCUUUUUUCUUAGUCUUUCCAACUUCCUUGGGUAUUGUAUUUUGCCUCCAGAACAUCCAUGUCACUCCUCCUACAUCUGUGUUUACACAUCUCUGAAUCCCCCAUGAUGCCUAACACAGUGUUCAACACAUAGCUCAGAACGGACAACAUCACUGGAUACUCCCAAACAUGGAGUGGAUUUGGCUCAUGGUGCCCGCUGCCCAUGGGUUUAAGCAGGCUCACCCAUGAAUAUUCAGCACUGAGAAAAGAUGAUGAAGUCCUGGAAAUUAAUAACACUGCUCUCAAGUUCAAGGUAGUUAUUUUGAUUCUUUAGGCUGAAGAUGAAAUGCUAUACCUGAGUCUCUCCUGGAAAGAAAAAAGUGGGAAGGAAGUGCCAGGAACCUGUCCUUUGGGAAUAAGUUCCCAAUGCCAAUCACCUUGAGAUAACUGCCAGCACAGAAAAUAAGAGAAAUACCCUCAAGUGAGGGAGGUAUAUAUUUGAAGAAAAACGUAACUGUCAGUCUGUCUUUGUGGCAACUACUGAAUCUCCUGCAUGGGACAUCAGGGCAACGACAUACUUUCUCCAGAGGAUCCCCAGUGAUGAGUGGAAACUGUCGCUAUGAUGCCUACAGAAUUGGGGUCAGUGAGACACACACAAUUCGUAAAACAAAGGAACAAGAUGCAACUGCAACUUGAGUAAAGGCUUCAACAUUUCAUUCCUAUGUCCAAGGCUGUAAUGUAAAAAGUCAUAUGAGUUACACAAAAGGAAAUAAAAUUCUAGGACCUGGGAAGUACCACCUCCAUGGACUUCAGAGACAGUUCACGAAACUUGUAAGACUAGUCAGGACCCCAGUGAAAGGCACAAGGUUUACAGAGUUGAUGAAUCAAAUGAAACCUGACCUUAAUUAGGAGCCCCUGCCCAAUAACUGCAGGUUUAUUCUUCAAAGGCAUAACCAGAUUCUAUGCCUCUAAAAUGGCCUUCAGAUUCUAUGAUUAUUUCUUCUUAGUAGACUCCUAGCCAAUAUGGUAAUAUUGUUUCCCCUUGAUUGGGCAAAGUCUAUCUACUUAUCUAUCGAUCUUAUGUAAAUUGUGUUUAUAAAGGUGCAUCUGUGUUCUGUAAAUAUUAUACUGGUUUACAUACUGUUUUUGAAAAUGUCUGAAAUAGGAGAAUUCAAGCUAACUAAUGUCUGAUUUAUUAAAGUUAUGGGCAUUAAAUGCCUAGAAAAAUUGUGACAUUUGUGAGAAAUGUAUAUAUUAAAUUUAUAAUCAUAGUUAAAAUGUCCAAGGAAAUUUGGCUACAUAAACAUAACGGUUAGGAUUUGAUUUAUGCAUCAUGUGAACAUUAAUCAAGGAACAAAUGAGUUUGUUCUUUUUUUAUGCAAAUAUUAGAUUUAUAAAUAAAAUUUGUCAGAUAAAUUUAAACAUUUAGAAAAGUAAAUUUAGACACUCUUUUACAUGUAUAAAAGGUUUCCCUCGUAACUAAAAAUUAACUGGAAUUUGGUGAAGCCUUUCAUCUCACGGAUUCCCAACUCCACAGUCAAGAUAGAAAAGCGAGAGAACCCUAAAGAGUGAAAGGCCAUGUGGGCCAUGCCUGCAGACCUCUAAACCAAAGAAAGUUUCCAAAGCCUUCUCUGGCAAAUGUCCACUGAUUCCAAAAGAACCAGAACUUCCUGGCAGGGAGGGGGAGAGGGAAGAGGAGAAGGGCAGCCCUCUGGAGCACACAUAACACAAAUGGUCUGGGAUGGGACAGGGCUUCCAAAGCUGAGGUGAGCUCACUGACAAGGGGUAUCUGCCAAUGCCAUAUAUGCAUGGCUACCUGACCUGAACAUCUAGGACACCUCAAAAUCUAGGAGGCAAGAGGGAUCCAACAAUGUUUCCCGGGAUCCCACAGUAGAGAACGUUUCUGGGAACAACUCUGUUCUAGUUUCUCAAACCCACUUGGAUAUUUUCUUUUGCCUCUGGAAUACCCAGAUCUCUCCUACACCUAUGCUUGCCAAGCGAGGGCUUGUGCGGGGCUCAACACUGAAACGGGUUUUACACCAUGUCCUACUGGAUCUGUGUUUUCCCUUAGAGCAGGCACAGCGUCUUCUACCUCAGCUGCACUAAGCCACAAAGAGCAGAACUUCUAAGGCAAUAAGCAAUGGAACAAGGGGACUAACCUGCAAUCAGGACCUACCUCUGUCACCGUGUAUUUUGAGGAGCUUUUGUGCGACUUGGCAAGUAACACGUCUGUGAAAUGAGUGUGAACUUACUCUGGAGCAGGGUUUGUUACAGAAAGCCACUGAAAUAACACUGAAAAAAUACACUCAGAAAACACAAGCAUAAAUGUAGGGAACUAGGCUAUUAUAAAGUCUAAAAGAUGCUGGGACUACCUUAUAGCAAGUGGGAAUGAUAAAUGGACCCAGCAAAAUCUCACAAGUACAGGUUCUCAUCUAAUCUGACAAGUAGGCAUGAAGUUCUGAGGACACAUCUUCUAACUCCAAAUUUCAAGACCAGAAAAGGUUAGUAUAAACUAGAUGGGAAGGAAAAAGAAAAAAAAAGUUCUACAUACUAAAGUUAAUAUUCUAAAAAAUUGGACUUUUCCUACUAUAUGUCAGGCAUUUAGUUUAUUUGCUCCUUUCAAAUUAGUAGGGGAAAAAAACUGGGGCUGGAAAAUUUAAGCAAACUGCCUUUAUGUGAGAAAAAAACAUUGGCUGCAAGAACCUCAGUUUGCAUUGCACAGCCCUCAAAACUAAAGGCCAUAACUACUCACCCCCAGAAUCUUGAAGAGUAUUGUUUUCAUGCUUCUUUCACAUUUCAACCAAAGCUGAAAAAUGUAGCCAGUCCUCAUGGAAAUUUCAGUGAUGGACUCCUGCUAUCAAAUUUCUAAAUGGUCCUGUUUCUCUUCUCAUGCCCAGUGGUGAAUGUUAAGUGAGAACUCAAGUGUCCACCGUACCAUUCUCCUCCCUCAAAGUGAGCUCAAAGUUCAGAGGAAAGGAAGCAGUCAUCACUCUACUGUAAACAGGUGCAUGCUAGAGGAUCCCAGGUUUUGGCAGAGGCUAACAGAGACCCUGGAAUCUUUAUGCUCAUUGAGUACUUUCAGGUGGGCAACUUUCAUGCCCAUCAAAAUAGUGGAAGGCAAAAAAAUUCAUCAGAAGUGUGUCCCAAUUUCAUAGACUGACAGAUGGAGGUGUGUAAUAAUACACCUUUUAUUACUUCCCUUGACAGCUACAGAUUGCAUGUGGAGUUUAACUGGGCUGAUACACACAUUUUGCAGGUGCAUUGUUGAGAAAGAAUUUUUUGCACAUUUUUUCUGGCUAGCACAGAAAUAAAGUACCUAGGUAGGGAAAGACAUUUCCUGAUAGUUCAAAGAGCGUUUCUCCUUACUGCUCCAAAUGCUCUCUCCAGUCACAUAACGCUAACGUAAGCAUUUUUAACGCCUGCCAAAAUUCUCAAACAUGGAUAGGCCAGCCUGCAUUAAAGGAUUCUCAUCUGUUGGGUUUAUGAAAUGAUUUGUAAUCAUCAACUCUAUAAAUAUGGGAAUGUAACUUUCUUUACUAAAGCAUCAGGCUCCAUAAGGGACUCUAUUUGUGUCAUACAUAGAUAAAUAGCUUGGGAUGAUUAAACUUGAUAUCCUAAAUUUGAUUUUCAUAGGAAACUGAAAUUGCACUGUACCCUUAAAGCAGUUCUAGUUAACCAGUACCUGAGGCUUAGAGAACUAGUUCUUCAGUAGCCAGUAACAUUGGGGUCACACUACAUUUGAUGAAUAAUUUGAUGAAUAAUUCUUCCCAGUGGCACUCACAUCUGAUAUGCACAUUGUGUGGAUUAGAGAGUUUUUGGACAAACAGAAGAAAAACAUCAUUUUCUACCACCAGUUGCUCAUGCUACAGGUAUAUCACCUAAUGAAAACAAGAUUUCUCUGAGGAAUGUGAAAUGUAGUUAGUGUUUUCACCAUAUAAUUAUUCUGCCACGAUCUUCAAGAUACUGAGACAGAAACAAACCUGAUUACAUUUUUUUUUUACGUCCUGAUGAAACUUUCCAUUAGGGUACUGAGCAGGGUACCCAUCUCCCAGACAACAGUUCUGAUGUAGAUGAAUUAUCAAAAGUGGAAGUGGGAUGAUCUUAGCAAUUAAAUCCAUGACUUAAAUAAUGGUGUGUGGGGCUGGGCACCGUGGCUCAUGCCUGUAAUCCCAGCACUUUGGGAGGCUGAGGCAGAAGAUUAAGUUGAGCCCGGGAGUUCAAGACCAGCCUGGGCAACAUGGUGAGACCCCAUCUCUACAAAAAUAUCUUGGGACUUCUCAGCCUCCAUAAUCACAGAGCCAAUUCCUUAUCAUCUCUUUCUACAAGUGUAUCUCCUAUUGGUUCCGCUUCUCUGGAGAACCCUGCCUAAUACAAUAUUAUAAGGGGAAAAAAACUUCCCCUAUAGAGUCAGCAAUAGUGAGCUGAGGAAGCCUCAUUCAUCACCAAAGUAAGAGAGGGAAGAGGCUACAGCAGCUAACAACGGUGACACUGUUAGAAAGUAUAUGGAACUUGAAACACAACACGAUUGAAUUAUUCCUACUAGGAGCCUGGAACGGGGAACCAAGAAGGCAAGAGAUUAGGAUAUUGCAGUGGGGAGCACAAAAGGAGGAAAGAUCAGACAAAAUAGAGAAGACCUGCACAAAGAUGAAUUCAGUUUUUGUUUUGUUUUUUUCCUGAAGAAGUUAUUAGGCCAAUGGCAGUGGCUCACAACUGUAAUCCCAGCACUUUGGGAUGCCGAGGCGGGAGGAUCACUUGAGCCCAAGAGUUUGAGACCAGCCCGGGCAACGCAGUUCGACACCAUCUCUACAAAAAAAUUAAAAAAAAAAAAAAAUUAGCCAGGCAUGGUGGCACAGGGCUGUGGUCCCAGCUACUCAAGAGGCUGAGGCGAGAGGAUCACCGGAGCCCAGGAGCACAAGGCUGCAGUGAGCUGUGAUCACACCACUGCCCUCCAGCCUAGGCGACAAAAUGAGGCCCUGUCUCAAAAAAGAAAAAAGAAAAAAAAGACAUUACUAUUCACCCACAUUUAGAUAGAUGCGUCCUUUCCAAUCUAUGUGAAUUCAUGCCACUCCAUGGUACCUGCCCCCCUCCAGGGCAACAGUUGUGGCCACAUGGGCAUAUGCAACUGCUGUUAAGCCUCAAAUCCUUAUCAAAAAUGCUAAGUGACAGCUAACCAAGCUGUAAAGAGUUUUGCUUUUUCAUUCUCAUUGAUUUAAAUGGCAUGCGCUCCAGAAAACUCUUCUGCGGGUUAGCUUCUGUGUUCUUCUCACAACACUCAAGUGUACUUAAAAUCAUAUUUGUUCUGGUUCACAGAGGAAGGAAAUGGAGGGUGUCAAAGGAAAGACUUGCAGGAUUUCAAACAUUACAGGAUCACAGACAUUCUUUUCCAAUGUAAAGACAUUCCAGGAAAGCCUCAAACUGGCAUGGUGUGUAUAGGCUUAUGAUGUAAAAGAGAAUUUAGGGUUCAUUAAUUCCUAUCAUGGCUAAAGACCUCACUGUUUUACCUGUUUAACUGUGCUCAGGUUUUGAAAUUAGUGCUCAGAAGUCUUUCAUCCCACCACCACAGUGUUCCUCACCAAAAGGUCUUCUGUCUUUUGCCAGCUCAAUAUUCACAGUCUUCACAAGAGAAGGCUAAUUCUGAAACAACUAUGUAGCCUGCACAGGGCUGGUGAAAGUCCAGGGGCCUCAUUCUACCAAUGGCUUUUCAUGCCUCUCUUGCUCCUGCAUAUCCCUUCUCCUAUUGCUUUAAAUGUCCUUUCUUCCCCAGGGUUAAGAGUGGAAGUUCUAGAGACGGAUUACAUGUAAUCAAAUACUGUUUCUGAAACUUCUUAAUUAUGUGUGACCUUGAGACAAUUAUUCACCAUGUUGUGCCUCAGUUUCCUCAACAGCAAAAUGUGAAAAAUUAUAGUGCCUAGUGUGUAGGGUUAUGAGGAUGAACUGAGUUCAUGGUUCCAGUUCUUGGAGCAGUGCCUGGAACAUGGUAAAUGUCAGUAAGUGUUACUUAUUCUUCCAGCCCCAACAGGUGGUAGAUUGCUUGUAGUUCAAGUAUAGAACCACAUGGGUUCUAGACAUGGGUCCACGGUAGAGAAAGCAUCCAUUUACCCGCCUACCUCCCACCAAGACUGAGCAAGGAUUACAUCUUCUUUCUCUUUAUGUUUCCAGCACCUAGUGUGGUAAGUAAGUGACACACAGCAGGUAUUCAGUGAAUGCAGAUUGAGUGCUUGAAGGGAUGACUAAUUCUAACAAGGGGAGUAUGUCACCUAAGGGAUGCUGUUUAUGAAUAACAGUGGCAAUGCAGUAAAGGGAAACUCCAGCUAGAACCCUGGUAAGAAACACAAUUCACUGUUCUGGGAUUUUUAAAUAACUUACAUUCAUUUGCUUUAAAAUCUUUCAAAUAAGGUCACUUUUGUUUAUAUACUUGCCAUUCUUACCAGCAUAGAGAGAGGUAAGUAUAACAAAACUAACUGAAUCAAUGUUUCUUCAACACCUGGAGACCAAAAUCCUAGAAACUGUCUUUAGCAAUUUCAAAAGGUUACAUUUAAUUUUCAAGUGCACAUAAUACACAAUUAUGACUAUUAAAAAGUCGCUGAAAAUAUCUUUCCAAAUACAAACAAAAGCAAAGCAUCAACAGAGACCCAGAAUGAGGCAGAAGUGAUGACUACAUUAUUAAGGGUCAGCUCCCCAAACUCACACACCCCCCGAAAGGAGAAGGGAUAACAGGAUCAGCACCAGACUAACUCACUCUCCUCUCAGUCACGAGAUUUGAUUUCGGUGUCAAAAAAAACCCUCUGUGGAAAGUGCUCUUCUUGUGAAAACACCCUUCUAAAAAGCAAGCCCUGAAACAAAGUCAGUCAUUACCCUGGCACACGUUCACUAGUUCCUCAGAAUGAGCCCCAAGGUGUUUGCUGAGGGGACAGAGGAAGGAGGAGAUGGAGACAGACCAACAAGACAGCCAGACACACACACACGCGCACGCACACACACACACAGAGUUCUAGUCUCCGCCACAGUAACGAAACUACUUAAAUGCCACAGCCUUUCUUCUGUGUGACUUUUGUUACUCCCAUGUGGAAUAUCCAAAGAUUUAAAUACACUGUCGAGUCAGAUUAAUCAAAGCCACAUUCUCUAGUUAAGCAUAAAGAAAAGAAAGUCAUAAAAGAAUUCAAAUUUGUUCACAUCUUGUAACAGGAAAGAAUAGGUGGAUUCAUAUCUGCUAUGGUUUGAAUAGGUCCCAUCCAAAAUUCAGGUGUUGCCAAUGUGAUAGUAUUAACAGGUGGACCUUUAAGAGGUGAUUAGGUCGUGAGGGCUGCUCCCUUAUUUCUUGGCCAAAUAACGUUUGGCCAAAAAAAGAAUGUGGGAAGAUCAGUCUAAGUUCACCUGGAUAUUAUUUAGAAUGAUAAAGUCUAUGAACCAAGUGAAUGAGCUACUCAAAAAGCCAAAAGAAAAAUUCUGAAGGGCUCAGUUACUUUGGUUUUUUUUUUUAAAUUACUCUGGGUAGCAGGCACUCAAGGAAGCCUACUUACCACGAUAUCCUCAGGAAAUGUGUCU
rnacentral:lncRNA from 10 species